rnacentral:rRNA from 1 species
GGGUGAUUCUGGCGGAAUGAGCGGCGGACGGGUGAGUAACACGUGGGCAACCUGCCUGUAAGACUGGGAUAACUUCGGGAAACCGGAGCUAAUACCGGAUAGUAUUUCCUUUCUCCUGAUUGGAAAUGGAAAGACGGUUUCGGCUGUCACUUACAGAUGGGCCCGCGGUGCAUUAGCUAGUUGGUGGGGUAAUGGCCCACCAAGGCGACGAUGCAUAGCCGACCUGAGAGGGUGAUCGGCCACACUGGGACUGAGACACGGCCCAGACUCCUACGGGAGGCAGCAGUAGGGAAUCUUCCGCAAUGGACGAAAGUCUGACGGAGCAACGCCGCGUGAGCGAUGAAGGCCUUCGGGUCGUAAAGCUCUGUUGUUAGGGAAGAACAAGUACGAGAGUAACUGCUCGUACCUUGACGGUACCUAACCAGAAAGCCCCGGCUAACUACGUGCCAGCAGCCGCGGUAAUACGUAGGGGGCAAGCGUUGUCCGGAAUUAUUGGGCGUAAAGGGCUCGUAGGCGGUUUCUUAAGUCUGAUGUGAAAGCCCACAGCUCAACUGUGGAGGGUCAUUGGAAACUGGGGAACUUGAGUGCAGAAGAGGAGAGUGGAAUUCCACGUGUAGCGGUGAAAUGCGUAGAUAUGUGGAGGAACACCAGUGGCGAAGGCGACUCUCUGGUCUGUAACUGACGCUGAGGAGCGAAAGCGUGGGGAGCAAACAGGAUUAGAUACCCUGGUAGUCCACGCCGUAAACGAUGAGUGCUAGGUGUUAGGGGGUUUCCGCCACUUAGUGCUGAAGUUAACGCAUUAAGCACUCCGCCUGGGGAGUACGGCCGCAAGGCUGAAACUCAAAAGAAUUGACGGGGGCCCGCACAAGCGGUGGAGCAUGUGGUUUAAUUCGAAACAACGCGAAGAACCUUACCAGGUCUUGACAUCCGCUGACAAUCUUGGAGACAAGACGUUCCCUUCGGGGACAGCGUGACAGGUGGUGCAUGGUUGUCGUCAGCUCGUGUCGUGAGAUGUUGGGUUAAGUCCCGCACCGAGCGCAACCCUUGAUUC